rnacentral:miRNA from 1 species
CUGCAAAGGGAAGCCCUUUCUG